CCUACGGGAGGCAGCAGUGGGGAAUAUUGGGCAAUGGGCGCAAGCCUGACCCAGCAACGCCGCGUGAAGGAAGAAGGCUUUCGGGUUGUAAACUUCUUUUGUCAGGGAAGAGUAGAAGACGGUACCUGACGAAUAAGCAAUGGCUAACUACGGGCCAGCAGCCGCGGUAAUACGUAGGUGGCAAGUGUUGUCCGGAAUUCCUGGGUGUAAAGGGCGUGUAGCCGGGUUGACAAGUCAGAGGUGAAAUCCUUCGGCUUAACCGCAGAACUGCAUUUGAAACUGUUGAUCUUGAGUACUGGAGAGGCAGAUGGAAUGCCUAGUGUAGCGGUGAAAUGCGUAGAUAUUAGGAGGAACACCAGUGGCGAAGGCGGUCUGCUGGAGAGCAACUGACGGUGAGGCGCGAAAGCGUGGGGAGCGAACAGGAUUAGAUACCCUUGUAGUC
rnacentral:rRNA from 1 species